AGUGAACGCUGGCGGUAGGCCUAACACAUGCAAGUCGAACGGCAGCACAGUAAGAGCUUGCUCUUACGGGUGGCGAGUGGCGGACGGGUGAGGAAUACAUCGGAAUCUACUUUUUCGGGGGGGAUAACGUAGGGAAACUUACGCUAAUACCGCAUACGACCUACGGGUGAAUGCAGGGGAUCUUCGGACUUUGCGCGAUUGAAUGAGCCGAUGUCGGAUUAGCUAGUUGGCGGGGUAAAGGCCCACCAAGGCGACGAUCCGUAGCUGAUCUGAGAGGAUGAUCAGCCACACUGGAACUGAGACACGGUCCAGACUCCUACGGGAGGCAGCAGUGGGGAAUAUUGGACAAUGGGCGCAAGCCUGAUCCAGCCAUGCCGCGUGGGUGAUGAAGGCCUUCGGGUUGUAAAGCCCUUUUAUUAGGAAAGAAAAACUGCAUAUUAAUCUACCGCUGUUUUGACGGUACCCAAUGAAUAAGCACCGGCUAACUUCGUG
rnacentral:rRNA from 1 species